GUCCCGUUCGUCUAGUGGUCUAGGACCCCGCCCUUUCACGGCGGUAACAGGGGUUCGAACCCCCUACGGGAUG
rnacentral:tRNA from 1 species